rnacentral:rRNA from 1 species
AUUGAACGCUGACGGCAUGCCUUACACAUGCAAGUCGAACGGUAACAGGUUAAGCUGACGAGUGGCGAACGGGUGAGUAAUGUAUCGGAACGUGCCCAGUCGUGGGGGAUAACUGCUCGAAAGAGCAGCUAAUACCGCAUACGACCUGAGGGUGAAAGCGGGGGAUCGCAAGACCUCGCGCGAUUGGAGCGGCCGAUAUCAGAUUAGGUAGUUGGUGGGGUAAAGGCCUACCAAGCCUACGAUCUGUAGCUGGUCUGAGAGGACGACCAGCCACACUGGGACUGAGACACGGCCCAGACUCCUACGGGAGGCAGCAGUGGGGAAUUUUGGACAAUGGACGCAAGUCUGAUCCAGCCAUGCCGCGUGCGGGAAGAAGGCCUUCGGGUUGUAGACCGCUUUUGUCAGGGAAGAAAAGGUUCUGGUUAAUACCUGGGACUCAUGACGGUACCUGAAGAAUAAGCACCGGCUAACUACGUGCCAGCCGCCGCCGUAAGAC